GUUGUGUCAACCCGAUUCAAAUUGGGUUGUUAUCAGGUCGUAAUCAGAUCGUGUCGUUAUCGUGUCGCUAUCGGGUCGUGUCAACCCGAUUCAUAUCGGGUUGUUAUCGGGUUCGGGUUGGGUUCGGGUUUAGGUGUAUCAGGUUGGGUUCGGGUUGGGUUUUAGCAUUCCCUUAUCAGGUCGGGUUCGGGUUUGGCCUUAUCAGGUCGGGUUGAUAUCAGGUCGACCCGAUAGCGAUCCGACCCGCACGAUUUGCCAGCC
rnacentral:lncRNA from 1 species